AAAAGUGAUGAGUGAUUGGCUAAAAUUUCUAUGUAGUCUAUGAGAAAAUCCCUUUAAAAAUAAAGCUAUCAAGUACAAGAACCAGCUGAUUCAGUGAUCUGACUGGCUUGGGUGGGUGUCUCCUUCNUCACUACCUCAAGUGUGUCCCUCUCAAAGCUGUGCUGCUGGGAAGAGGAGGAUGACUUUUCCCUGAGAAGGGAGGACCAUUCUUCAGUCAAGGGAAUGCAG
rnacentral:snRNA from 1 species